AUGGAUGAUGGAGAUGGCCUAUCGGAGCCAAGCGUGGUAGGCCAUGCAGUGGAGCGUGACAGCUCAUGGUUGGGGAGCGUGUCCGGGCAAGGCGGUACGAGACAGCAGGGUAGAAGUUUCCCGGUCCAGCCAGAGGGGCAGGCCGAGGAGCAGCUAGUGGGGCCCGCAGAUUUGGAUGGCCAGCGGGAGGAAGCGACGCGCCCAUCCCAACUGGUCACCCCAUGCGAGGCCCAGACUGCUUGGCCUGGGGAUUCCCCCACGGUUAGGGUGGGGUCGUGGGACCUGCAACUGCCCCAGAGCCAGCUGGAGGCAUCAGUUGGUCAGGAUCUCACGCCAAACGAGGAAGAUACGAUGAGCUUCGACACUUGCCUAUUGAAGGGCUCGGUGGAUCAGGCAGAGGAUAGGACAAGGGAGAUGGGGCCCACUCUGCAUGGGGAUGGGACAUCUCCAUGCACGCCCAAUUCUGGAUGGUUUCUCGUGAGCCUUUCGGAACAGCAGGAGGGACAGGAGGUUUCAGAGGGCCAAAUGCAAACCCCGCAAAGACGAGUCCAGAUCUUUUGCUCUGAGUUGCGGCAGGACGUCUCACCUCUCCUGGCACAGCCGGCAACUCGCAACGUGACAACCAAGCAGCGAAGGCCACGCCAGAAAAGGGCUGCAGUUACGACAGCAAGGAGAAGCGUACGGUUGGCAAAAGGAGGGCGGGGCUCCAAGGCAUCAAAACAGCAAGCGGCCAUAAUAAAGAAGCUAUGCCUGGCGAACGAAGGAGAUCAGAUCAGCGACGAGGCACUUCAAGCCUAUGCACGGCUCUUCGACAAGCCACUUGUAGACUCCCACAUUCAAGCGAUCCUACCUCUUUUUGGCUGGGAUGCGUCGAUCCUACCACUGCAAGGAGACGAAGAUGUCGUGGCCGUCGGGCAGAAGCCCCGUCCUAGGUGGAUACGCGUGGGCAUCGUGUCACGGCAACACAACCACCCAAAAUUCUGGUGUGGAAUGUGCGGGGAUUAA
rnacentral:rRNA from 1 species